GAUCAACGCUGGCGGCGUGCCUAAUGCAUGCAAGUCGAACGGGGCACACUUCGGUGUGUUUACGUGGCGGACGGGUGAGGACCACGUGGGGAACCUGCCCAUCGGUGGGGGGUAGCUCCUGGAAACAGGAGGUAAUUCCGCAUACGCCCGGUUGGUGAGUAGGCCGACUGGGGAAAGCCGGAAGGCGCCGAUGGAGGGGCCUGCGUCCGAUUAGCUGGUUGGUGGGGUAAUGGCCUACCAAGGCGAUGAUCGGUAGCUGGUUUGAGAGGAUGAUCAGCCACACGGGGACUGAGACACGGCCCCGACUCCUACGGGAGGCAGCAGCAAGGAAUUUUCCGCAAUGGGGGCAACCCUGACGGAGCAACGCCGCGUGUGGGAUGACGCUUUUCGGAGUGUAAACCACUGUUCAUGGGGACGAAGCACUGACGGUACCCAUGGAGGAAGGCCCGGCUAACUACGUGCCAGCAGCCGCAGUAA
rnacentral:rRNA from 1 species